UCCUCUUUCUUUGCUUCUUUCUCCUCCUCCUCCUCCGCCUCCUCCACCUUCCAACUGCUACACCACCACCACCUUCUUCUACUUUUUAAAAUCAUAUAUGUAAUUCUUCAGCAGAAAUUGAACCAUUAGUACCAUUCUCAGUAGAACCAUCAGUAGGAUCCAAAUGAUGAAAUAGAUCGGAGAUGUGGGUGAUUAUUUUUUAGAAAUUUGUGGUGAAAGUUGUUCUUUAUCUAUUGGUAUUGAAUCCAAAUUGUUUGUAUCCAGAUAUGGAUUAAAGUUUGAUUUUAAAUUUAAAGAGGUUAUAGCUGAUAGAGGAAUUCAGUAACAUUCUACAACUUUUAGUUUCAAUGUUCUUUUACGAGAUGGGAUUGUACAUGAGGGGCCAUUGGACUCACAAGCUUGAGCAGUUAAAAACAUCAUCAUCUCUUGAACGGCAAGCGUAACACAGCUGAAAUUGAGAAAGUAACAAAGGCAGCAACACAAAGGCUCUCAAAUCAAUCUAAUGGCAAGCAUAACACAGUUUAAAUUGAGAAAGUAGUAAGGGAAGCAACACAAAGGCUCUCAAAUCAAUCUGUGAGAUCAAAGGCUUAUUUUUUUCCUUCUCUUUUUACAUAUUUUUAAUUAUCUUUGAUAUCAAGUUCCUUCACAGUGAUAGAGGAGGCUUGUAUGUUAGAAGUUAGGACAGCUGACAUAGCCAAAAUGGGGCGCAAUGAACUUCAAAUUGUACCAUCUCUAGCUUACUGAGAGCAAAGGAAUUGAAAAUUUUCUCGAAAGUCAAAUUAAAGAGGCAGGUUGUGAGCAGAAAUUAGGUUUCUAUAGAUAUAUUAGUUACUUACACUAGUAAUUUUCCAAAUAGAUAAUCAAAAAAGAAGACAAACCUAAAACAUUAAGAAAAAAUCAUAAAAAAAGUGUCUGGUUUCCUACAAUGUAUUCUUUAGGUCUUUAAAUUGUGAUUCUUAAUUAUUAGAAAUUUAAAAAUGAAGAAAAAUAAUGUUAAACUAGCAGUUUAAAAAGAAUUUAAAAUGCAUCAUUAUUGUUUUUCCUUUUGUAGGUAGUGUCUUUCAAGGAUUGAUAAUGUCUCUUCCAUUGCACUGCAGUGUUUAGUAACUAAUACCCAAACAGCAUAUAGUGCGUCACUGCAUCUCCACAUAGAUGAUGAGCAUAGUGUUAGAAAACAAUACAUAUGUAUAUAUUCAAAACCUCUUGUUGAACCGUGGUUUUAAACUACAUAAAAACCGUCCCACUCCCAUAGAGUGGGACCCGUCCCUUUUGGGUUUAACAGGGGAUCUUAUUUGUGGGUGCGUCUUCACCGAGUAGUGCUACAAUGGCCGUGGGAAAAACCGGGAGAAAUCCCGUGGCACUAAUAGGGGACCCGUGGGACAAUGGCUGUGUUUUUAAUCACUUAUACUAUAAGUGAUCUAACUAAAUCAAUUUAGUGUUUUUUCUUAUGGAACCAUUAUUUAUUGUGUAUAAGAAUCUGAAGUAGAAAUGAAUAUGAUUCAAUUUUUUGUUUGAGGUUCCUAAUUUUUUACAUUAUCUUUUCACUUGUAAGAUAAAGGAAAAAAGAUAAAAACCUGGUUCCAAGGGUAAAAUAAAUCCAGGUAAAAUUAACAUGCCACCUACUUGAAAAACUUUUUAAUCACAAAGGGUAAAAUAGAAAGUAACAUUUUUUUAGAAAUAAUAAAAUUUGUUUUCCGAAUAUUUUUAAUUAUCAAAGAGAAUUGUCAAGACCAAUGCAACGAAAGAAUAUUCUAAUCUUCCUUAACCUGUAUACUGGGAUACACGUUAAGAAGACCCAAAAUUAUUCAAGAAAAUAAUGAGUUUAAAACCGGGGUCUUAUUAAUGUGUAUCCCAAUAUACAUGUUAAGGAUGAUUAUUAUAUUAUUUAAUUGAAUCGAGGGUUGUAAUUUUCCUUUUAUAUUCGAAAUUCUUGGAAAUACGACAGUGUUGUUUCUAGAAAUAUACAGUUCCACAUUAUUGCAGUGCUAGUACAAGCAGAAACAUAAGGGCAGUUUUUCCUACAGCGGAAGACUAUGUUAAUGAAGCUAUACAAGCAAAAACAUAAGGCAGUUUUUCCUACAACGGAAGACUAUGUUAAUGAAGCUAUACAAGCUAUCAAAGAAGGGAAAAUUAUUGCAGUGCCUACUGAUACUCUUUAUGGAUUUGCUUGUGAUGCCUGGUAUGGUUUGAAACAUGUUUCCUCUUGUUUUAAGAUUUUAAUGUCAGUAGUUUUCAAGAAAUUUCUUGAUUUAAUUUGCAUUAUGGAUGUGAUUAAUUCAGGUUAUCAUAUGAGCUUAAUCCUCCGAGCUUUAUGUGGAAAAAAUAACCUUAAAAGUUCAAUAUUUGGUGUAAUUCUCACACUGGACGUCACAGGUUAUUGUGUUUGCACAUGUACAUGUACCUCGGUCCUUUUAUUUUGUAUUUGCAUUGUGCUGUUGAAGAAUACUUAGUUUUAUACUCUUGUUUUCAUGUGAAGUUUUAUUUUGCUUUAGUUGAAGUUACUUAUGGCGUAGAUUUUAUUAUUUUGCAAUUCAGCAGAAGCAGUUCAUAGAAUUUAUGAGAUUAAAAGGCAUAAACAAACGACUCCUUUAGCUUUUUGUGCAAGGAAUCUUAAGGACAUUAAGAGGUUUGCUAAUAUAGAUCAUCUGCCUAAUAAUUUGCUUGAUAGUCUUCUCCCUGGACCUGUCACCAUUGUGCUAAUGCGAGGUCUGGUUUAGAGACAUAUAUAUUUGCUGUACACUUAUAAUGUGAUGUAUUAAUUCUGGAGGUGCACGUAGUCUUACAGCAUGUUGGUUUGCAACAAAAUAUUUCUUUUUCUUUUUUUGGUUACUUUCAGGUGAGUAAUCCUUGAAUCCAGGAUUAGAUAGCACAGGAAUAUGUGUGCGAAAUUCGGAUUUUAGUCGCGCGAUUGCACGUGGUUCUGGAAGUGCACUAGCACUUUCUAGGGCAAACCUUAGACGGCAACCAAGCAGUGUAUGCAUCAAAGACUUUGAGAAUCUAUGGGAGCACUGUGAGUUUGUCUAUGUGGUGCUUUGCUUCCUUCAGGACAUGCCUGAUCGACCGUGGUUGACCUCACAAGGCUUGGAAAUUACAAAAUCAUAAAGACCUGGAAGUGCCAUGGAAGAGACAGUAGCAAUCCUUCAGAGACACUCCCUUCAACUUCAGGAGGGUAAAACGAUGUAAAAUCUCCACAGUGAUAGAUUGUCAAAUUUUAAAUGAUUUUUCUUCUUUUUAGACUACUGGUGCAACAUUAUUUAUUUGAGCAGGCUGAAUUUAAUUACUAGGAAUAUAAAGGGUCUUUCAGAAUCUCGGUGAGAACUUCAAUGUUGCAGUUCCUACUGACAUUCUUGAUGGGAGCACGCCUAACAUGAAAAAUACGAAGGGAAAGUGAGAUAAUGCCUUCAGGAUAUACCUUUAACAAUGUAUUGAAUUGAAACAAAUUUUUUUGAUGUGAUUCAUCCUGACUUAUGGGGGAUAUUGCAUCCGUUGGAGAUGCAUGUUCAUCACCAGCAUAUACCUCCGAUAGGCAUCAAUUUAAUUCUUGAAGAAAAACAAAGGGUUCAGUAAGUGCAAACCAUCAGCUUCUGUUUAGUGCUACAAAUAUUUUUGUAUAGAUCUUAAUUGCAUAUGCAGGACUUUGAGUUUACUGUGCCAAGGGACUAAUACUUCUUUAGUCCAUUUUCUUUGUUUUUUCUGUGGUGUGCUCCACUUGAAUGCUUCUCCUGCAACCUGGUUAUGUACUGAGUUCUGCUGUGAGGUUUUUUAAUCACAUUGGAUGCCAUGUUCUUUUAGAUGCUGCUCUAUUUAUAUAUAUUAUAUAUGGAUUUAAAAUUACAUUUUUGUUAGAUGGCAUACUGAAACAAGAUAAAUUUGUAUUACAGUAGUUGUGUUGAGGUUUUACUUACCUAUCCUAAAUGGUUUUUAUCUGUACUUUUAUUUCUUCUGGAUGUUAUGUGCUGAAGACCAUGAAGAAACUAUGUAUCUGACACUGGUCCGUUUAGUUGCUCAGCUUAUUGCUGCUGGUGGCUUCACUUGCGGCCGGUUUGAUGUGUCCCUUACUCAUCUGAGUGUCUUCCUUUAUAUGUUUGUCGAUUUCGAUUUUCAAAACUGAAAUUUCGUGUUUUCUACCAUAGUGGAUCUAAGAUUACUACACUGCGCUAAGUAUCUAUCUCUUUGAUUCUGUAUCAAAUGAAACAGUUCUUAAUAAAGUAAUAGAGGGAUGAAGGUGAUGAAUAUAGCAGGUAAUGACAUUUCAACAAACCACCUUCUGAUUUGCAUAGUGUGCCAUGUGUUUUAAGUUCUUGCAGUCCCUUUUAUGGGUAAAACAUAGUUCCAGCAGUAGUUUUCAUCUGCUGGACUUUUAGCAGUGCCCAGGCAUAUAAAGUUUACACUUAUUAUUACACAAUUCUUAGUAUCUAUCUCUUUGAUUCUGUAGUUCUUAAUAAAGUAAUAGAGAGAUGAAGGUGAUGAAUUAAGCAGGUACUUAAGACAGGUUUUCCUGUCUGGUUGUUUCUCCUGGUGCAGCUUAAAUGUAGCUGUGCCGAGCUUCUGGAUGGGUCUGUAUGACUUUUCAACAAACCGCUUUCUGAUUCUCUCUCUAUACUUGUUUAGAUUCACCACUUUCUUCUAUAUAGUUGGUGUGCCAUGUGUUUUAACUCGUGCAGUCCCUUUUAUCGGUAAAACAUAGUUCCAGCAGUAGUUUUCAUCUGCUGGACUUUUAGCACUGCCCAGGCGCAUAAAAUUUGAACGUAUAUUAAUAUUUAAUUUGUUAGUAAUGCAUUUUAAUUUCUGCCAAUGGAACUUGAUCUUUUGUUAAUUUCCAUAGUGGUUUUGUGCUUGAUAUAUCUACAUUGGAGUUAUUGCGUCAUUUGGGAAAAUGCAAACGCUUAUACAAGAAAAUUAAUUGGUGAUUGCUGCUCUCUGGGAGUCAUCUAUGCUUGUAAAUUUGCUACCAAUCUUAUAAAAGAACUUAAUGGCCUUCUUUGGUUUCUCUCUCUGAGAAGUAUUUUUCAUCUUUUAAUUAAAAGUUUUCUACAUAUCUGACCCCCUGUAUAAUUUCUUUGCAAACUGUUGUCGUGCCAUUGAUCAGGUUGUAAGUUCCGAUGGGAAGAAAGUAAAAUUUGCUCGUCCUUUGCCUGUUAUAGAUGUCAAGCAGGCACAGAAUCCAGCCAGAACCACUUCUUCUGCAAUUUGGUGGAGCAGGUCAAUAUAUCUCUGGCCAUUCUAAAAGUUUCGGCUGGCUGAGUGAAUCUAGUGUUCUCUCCUUCAGUUUGUUGUUACUCAGCACCGUUUUCAUUUAUCUUAGGCAAGCAGCCAAGCAACAUCGAUUUGGAAGAGCUACUCGAAGACAUAGAGAAGAUUACCCUUGUAAGCCAUUUGGUUUGGGGCUUAUGGGGGGAAUAUUCAGCAGGAGUCUGUCUGAUAUUUUAUUUAUUUUUUAAUAUUGGAUAACGAUUAUUACAUGAAACUAGUUGGAAGCCUACCAAGCUAAGCUCCAACGACAUACUACUA